AUUAGUGCUGAAACGAACGCGGAAGCUGUUAUGACUCCUUCAAAUGGCAAUCAAACAGAAUGUCGUGUAGAAGCAUAUAAGUGACGUCUACAUGGAAUAGAAUACAGCAUGCCGUCCUUACUGUAUAUAUGACCCAGUGCCAAGAAAACUGCAGACUGUCCAUCAUGUCAUCGGGAAUGAAGCUCGACUUGAAAGGCUUUAGUUUACAGUAGAUCUUAUUCAUUAGGAUUACAAUGGGUAAACUGAAUCCGAAGCAUGGGAAAGCCUAAAAGAUGAAAGAAAAGCCAAAUGCUUAUGUAAAAACUACAUUCUCCAGCAUACAUUUCAACCCUAGAAGGGCAAAAGGAAAAACGAGUUACAACAUGCUACAGCAGCAAGUCUUUCUACACAGAGGCAUGCAGGCAGGUGCAUUCUGAUGUUAUAUCAU